AAUCAACGCUGGCGGCGCGCUUAACACAUGCAAGUCGAACGAGAAAGGGGAGCAAUCCCUGAGUAAAGUGGCAGACGGGUGAGUAACACGUGGGUCAUCCACUCCUUGGUAGGGGAUAACCCUGGGAAACCGGGGCUAAUACCGCAUAAGUCCGAGAGGAGAAAGGCGAAAGUCGCCGAGGAAGGAGCCCGCGGCCGAUUAGCUAGUUGGUAGGGUAAAGGCCUACCAAGGCUUUGAUCGGUAGCCGGCCNGAGAGGGCACACGGCCACACUGGCACUGAGACACGGGCCAGACUCCUACGGGAGGCAGCAGGUGGGGAAUCUUGCACAAUGGGGGAAACCCUGAUGCAGCGACGCCGCGUGAGCGAUGAA
rnacentral:rRNA from 1 species